UUUUAUUUUCCUAUUUUAAUCGUCGCAAAAUAUGUACGUUUAUAUAAAACUUGUAUGUUUAUUUGGUAUUUUCCUACUUAGAGCUUUAGCCAAAGAUAUACCCUAUGAUGUCAAUUACAAUAUUAUAUUUGGGAAUCAACAUGUUGUAUCCUUCAACCAAGGAAGAGAACUUCAGAUUUCAAUGGACAAAUCUUCUGGAUCUGGCAUUGGAUCUAAGAAGAAUUAUGGUUCAGGCUCAUUUCACAUGAAAAUAAAACUACCAAACAAAGACUCAGCAGGAGUUGUUGUUGCUUUUUAUGUAAGUAAAAUAAUAUAUCUUCUAUUAAUUUUUCGAAAAUAUUUUUGAAAUAAUAUUUUUAUUUAAUUGUCAAACACUAGAAUAAGUAAAAAAAUUAUUUAUUUUUUAUUUAUUUUUUUAUUCAUAUCAAACAUAACCUUAAAGCAACCGACAAAAAAACCGUCCAUAAAUAAGUGUACAUAGAACAUACUAUGACAUAUUUAAAAUAGGGAAAAGGUCGAAGUACCUCUCUAGACAUUCAAAUUUCAGAGACGCAACUUAACUAAACUAAGGUCCUAUGUCCCUUUCCUCGAA